rnacentral:tRNA from 61 species
AAAUCCGUCGACUUUAUAAGUCGUGAGGGUUCAAGUCCCUCUAUCCCCAA